GAAAUGCGAUAAGUAAUGUGAAUUGCAGAAUUCAGUGAAUCAUCGAAUCUUUGAACGCACCUUGCGCUCCUUGGUAUUCCGAGGAGCAUGCCUGUUUGAGUGUCAUGAAAUCUUCAACCUAUAAGCUUUUGUGGUUUGUAGGCUUGGACUUGGAGGCUUGUCGGCCUUGAUUGGUCGGCUCCUCUUAAAUGCAUUAGCUUGAUUCCUUGCGGAUCGGCUCUCGGUGUGAUAAUAUCUACGCCGCGACCGUGAAGCGUUUGGCGAGCUUCUAACCGUCUCACUUGAGAGACAACUUUAUGACCUCUGACCUCAAAUCAGGUAGGACUACCCGCUGAACUUAA
rnacentral:misc_RNA from 1 species